rnacentral:misc_RNA from 1 species
GAUGAAGAACGCAGCGAAAUGCGAUAAGUAGUGUGAAUUGCAGAAUUCAGUGAAUCAUCGAAUCUUUGAACGCACAUUGCGCCACCUGGUAGUCCGGGAGGCAUGCCUGUUCGAGCGUCAUCAAAAACCUCAACCCAUGAUUUAUUGUGAGUUGGUUCUGCAUUGGACUCCUUGUGGGUCCUUUGCGAAAUCCAAUGGCGAAGAGCCACGCAACCAAAGCGUAGUAUAACUAUUUCAUUAUGGAAGCGUGGGUGCCUCUGCCGUAACCCCCAAUUUCUUAGUUUUUGACCUCGGAUCAGGUAGGGAUACCCGCUGAACUUAAGCAUAUCAAUAAGCGGAGGA